GUUUGGGGGAUAAGGGGGCGUCUACUUGUAGAGCCUGACCUCCACUUCUAACACUGUGCACUUGAUGGCGAGGUAAUGGAACUUUCGAGUGAAACUACCUUGCGGCUUCAUUUUAAACAUUAGUCAAAGUAUGUCAUGAAAUAAAAAACAAAAAAAAACUUUCAACAACGGAUCUCUUGGCUCUCGCAUCGAUGAAGAACGCAGCGAAAUGUGAUAAGUAAUGUGAAUUGCAGAAUUCAGUGAAUCAUCGAAUCUUUGAACGCACCUUGCGCUCCCUGGUAUUCCGGGGAGCAUGCCUGUUUGAGUGUCAUGAACUCUUCAACCCACCAGUUUCUAGUAGACUGCGUUGGUGUUUGGAUUUUGAGCGUUGCUAGUCUGACUAGCUCGUUCGUAAUAUAUUAGCAUCUCUAAUUCGAAUUCGGAUUGACUCAGUGUAAUAGACUAUUCGCUGAGGACACUUUUAUUAGUGGCCGUACUAGAACCAGUAGAAGCUUCCAACUAUUGUAGUCAACUUUAAUUUAGACCUCAGAUCAGGCAGGAUUACCCGCUGAACUUAAGCAUAUCAAA
rnacentral:rRNA from 1 species